rnacentral:rRNA from 1 species
CUUUUCACAUGCAAGUCGAACGGUAACAGGGAGCUUGCUCCGCUGACGAGUGGCGAACGGGUGAGUAAUAUAUCGGAACGUACCCAAGAGUGGGGGAUAACGUAGCGAAAGUUACGCUAAUACCGCAUACGAUCUAAGGAUGAAAGCAGGGGACCUUCGGGCCUUGUGCUCCUGGAGCGGCCGAUAUCUGAUUAGCUAGUUGGUGAGGUAAAGGCUCACCAAGGCGACGAUCAGUAGCUGGUCUGAGAGGACGACCAGCCACACUGGAACUGAGACACGGUCCAGACUCCUACGGGAGGCAGCAGUGGGGAAUUUUGGACAAUGGGCGCAAGCCUGAUCCAGCAAUGCCGCGUGAGUGAAGAAGGCCUUCGGGUUGUAAAGCUCUUUUGUCAGGGAAGAAACGGCUGUGGCUAAUAUCCACGGCUAAUGACGGUACCUGAAGAAUAAGCACCGGCUAACUACGUGCCAGCAGCCGCGGUAAUACGUAGGGUGCAAGCGUUAAUCGGAAUUACUGGGCGUAAAGCGUGCGCAGGCGGUUUUGUAAGUCUGACGUGAAAUCCCCGGGCUCAACCUGGGAAUUGCGUUGGAGACUGCAAGGCUAGAAUCUGGCAGAGGGGGGUAGAAUUCCACGUGUAGCAGUGAAAUGCGUAGAGAUGUGGAGGAACACCGAUGGCGAAGGCAGCCCCCUGGGUCAAGAUUGACGCUCAUGCACGAAAGCGUGGGGAGCAAACAGGAUUAGAUACCCUGGUAGUCCACGCCCUAAACGAUGUCUACUAGUUGUCGGGUUUUAAUUAACUUGGUAACGCAGCUAACGCGUGAAGUAGACCGCCUGGGGAGUACGGUCGCAAGAUUAAAACUCAAAGGAAUUGACGGGGACCCGCACAAGCGGUGGAUGAUGUGGAUUAAUUCGAUGCAACGCGAAAAACCUUACCUACCCUUGACAUGUACGGAAGACCGGAGAGAUCU